rnacentral:rRNA from 1 species
UACAGAGGGUGCGAGCGUUGUUCGGAAUUAUUGGGCGUAAAGAGCGUGUAGGCGGACUGGAAGGUCUGGUGUGAAAGCCCGGGGCUCAACCCCGGAGGGUCACCGGAAACCGACAGUCUUGAAUCUGGAAGAGGUGAGUGGAAUUCCCAGUGUAGAGGUGAAAUUCGUAGAUAUUGGGAAGAACACCGGUGGCGAAGGCGGCUCACUGGCUCAUUACUGACGCUCAGGCGCGAUAGCGUGGGGAUCAAACAGG